rnacentral:rRNA from 1 species
GACGUAGGGCGCGAGCGUUGUCCGGAUUUAUUGGGCGUAAAGAGCUCGUAGGCGGCUUGUCGCGUCGACUGUGAAGACCCGUGGCUCAACCACGGGCUUGCAGUCGAUACGGGCGGGCUAGAGUUCGGUAGGGGAGACUGGAAUUCCUGGUGUAGCGGUGAAAUGCGCAGAUAUCAGGAGGAACACCGGUGGCGAAGGCGGGUCUCUGGGCCGAUACUGACGCUGAGGAGCGAAAGCGUGGGGAGCGAACAGG